rnacentral:piRNA from 1 species
UCCACAGUUGAACAGUAUUAAGGGGCAGUA